UCCUCCGUGGCGCAAUUGGCUAGCGCGUCCGACUGUUAACAUUCGACAAUAGCAAUAUUAGCCGAGUUAGCGAUCGGGAGGUUCGUGGUUCGAGCCCACGCGGGGGAG